rfam:Scytonema millei VB511283 scaffold_185, whole genome shotgun sequence.
GUCAACAACCCAGGGCUAAAGCCACGCUUGCUUAAGCGCCUAAAUUUUAGCCAAUAGUUGACCCGGCUAAGUACCGAAGCGUACUACGUUAACGGCAAGUGUUCAAGUCCUACCUUAGAAUGCGUAGCCAGUUCUGAGCUUCUAGAAGUCGAGGAUUAAACAGAUUUAUUGGGUUAAGUCAGUGUCCUCGACAUAGUACCGACCGUUAACCUUGCCUAGGCUAACUUUAC